GGCGAUCGAGCGCCAUCGAGAAGCAGAGCUCCAGCGCCUUGAACUGAGCACGGGAACAGUAAGCGGCGCUGCGGGCGCGGGAGAGGGCAUCGCGGAGGAGCGAGGAGGACGAAGACGGGAGGGACAGAAGCGCGGAGAUGACAUGGAGGGAGGUCGUCUGAGCGUGGCCGCGGCGGCGGGCGAUGGCGAUGGCCUCAUCCAGCGCCGCCACCGCCUCCCCCGCCAGGCACUGCCUCGCCGCGCUAACCGUCGUCGGCAUAGCCCCCGGAGACCGACAGCAUAAAUAUUCCUCCCGCUGUAACCCCGGCGAGGGAGCGGAGCGGAGCCAGAAAUAAAAUAUGCGAGAGGACAACGACGGAGAAGAGGAGAUGGGGGCGGAGCAGGCAACUGAAAUAGUAGAAUAAGAUUGUCGUCCUCGAGGAGGAGGAAGGGAGAGGGCCGGGGGAGGAGGGAGGAGGGAGGAAGGGAGCAGGAAGCAGGCGCUUCCCACCCUCCUGUCGCGGAGGCGGGGGCGGCGGCGCUGGAGGGAAUAUCAAUUUCUGGAAGGGAGAGCCGAAGAGGAGAAGAUGAGGGAAGAGGAGCAGUGGAAGGACCUGCUGCCGCUGCUGGUGGCGGCCGCGACUGGAGAAGCACCCGUCACUCCCGUCUUUUGGUUAUUUAUUGCCAUAUCGAUCUGAGUAGAAAUGGACACCGGGUGAACUGCUUUCUGCGGCCGUGGGGCCGCCGGGGCCCGCCGACACACGAUCACCAUCUGCGGGAGAACAAAUUCUCGCAUCGCCAUCGCCCCUCCCUCUCCCUCCCUCUGUGAAAGGAUCGGACUUUCCCGGAGGCGACGGCGGCGGCGGCGGAGAUGCCGGCUCCACUGAGGAGGAACGACGAACCGCAGCGACAGGAGGACCAACCGAGGAGGAAGGAGGACGACGACGACGGCGAUAGAUCCAACGACGGCC
rnacentral:lncRNA from 1 species